AUUCCGUGAUCUGGACAUUUUCUUAACAUCUCCUUAUACCUUUCCCAUGUAUCAUACAAUGAUUUUGAUUCCAGUUGUUGAAAAGAGGAGAUAUCACUUCUGAGUUU